rnacentral:lncRNA from 1 species
UAUUGCUAGUUCCCCUUUCAUCCAGGGGAUGAUCAGCCCACCUAACUAUCCCAACUUCAAAUCUGUUAGACAUCACAAGAGGAGAUGAGGGAGGGAAAUUAGUAAUGUUAAAGACUGGGGAGUCUUGUAUUGCAACCUGCUUCUGUUUGUUCCCACCAUCAGCUGUAGCUAUAGUGCUUGUCUCCUUUGAUACCUCUUGACACUGGAUUUGAGCCAUCUGGUUACUCUG